rnacentral:rRNA from 1 species
AUUACUGAGUUUACGCUCUAUAACCCUUUGUGAACAUACCUAUAACUGUUGCUUCGGCGGGUAGGGUCUCCGUGACCCUCCCGGCCUCCCGCCCCCGGGCGGGUCGGCGCCCGCCGGAGGAUAACCAAACUCUGAUUUAACGACGUUUCUUCUGAGUGGUACAAGCAAAUAAUCAAAACUUUUAACAACGGAUCUCUUGGUUCUGGCAUCGAUGAAGAACGCAGCGAAAUGCGAUAAGUAAUGUGAAUUGCAGAAUUCAGUGAAUCAUCGAAUCUUUGAACGCACAUUGCGCCCGCCAGCAUUCUGGCGGGCAUGCCUGUUCGAGCGUCAUUUCAACCCUCAAGCUCUGCUUGGUGUUGGGGCCCUACAGCUGAUGUAGGCCCUCAAAGGUAGUGGCGGACCCUCCCGGAGCCUCCUUUGCGUAGUAACUUUACGUCUCGCACUGGGAUCCGGAGGGACUCUUGCCGUAAAACCCCCAAUUUUCCAAAGGUUGACCUCGGAUCAGGUAGGAAUACCCGCUGAACUUAAGCAUAUCA